UACAUAGGGGGCAAGCGUUAUCCGGAAUUACUGGGUGUAAAGGGUGCGUAGGCGGUCCUGUAAGUCAGAUGUGAAAACCCGAGGCUCAACCUCGGGAAUGCAUUUGAAACUACAGAACUAGAGUACAGGAGAGGUAAGUGGAAUUCCUAGUGUAGCGGUGAAAUGCGUAGAUAUUAGGAAGAACACCAGUGGCGAAGGCGACUUACUGGACUGAAACUGACGCUGAGGCACGAAAGCGUGGGGAGCGAACAGG
rnacentral:rRNA from 1 species